rnacentral:rRNA from 1 species
UACGUAGGGUGCAAGCGUUAAUCGGAAUUACUGGGCGUAAAGCGUGCGCAGGCGGCGCCGCAAGUCAGGCGUGAAAUCCCCGAGCUCAACUUGGGAAUUGCGCUUGAAACUACGGUGCUGGAGUAUAGCAGAGGGAGGUGGAAUUCCACGUGUAGCGGUGAAAUGCGUAGAGAUGUGGAGGAACACCGAUGGCGAAGGCAGCCUCCUGGGCCAAUACUGACGCUCAUGCACGAAAGCGUGGGGAGCAAACAGG